rnacentral:lncRNA from 1 species
GUUCCCCGGCUUUGCCGCGCGGAGGAAGUCCCGGUUACGCAGAGCGCGCUGGGGCAGGGCUGACCUUCCCCUUUCUCUACUUCACUGGCCUCCUCCAGACGUGGUGGUUGCGCCCUUUCGGCCUCGCUUUCCGUUUUUUGGCUUCAUCCCCUAGAUCUGCAAACAGUUCCUCGUGUUUCUUCCGUUAGCCGGGAAACGCGAACUGCAGCGUUUGGGACCCGGGUUUGCGCGUGUGGAAAGCAAAAGGGGUUACUCUGCUGGAGUUCGACAUUGCAAAUAAAGGUCUUUAUCCCCGGCGGUUCUACAAAAUUAGUUCUGCAGGGAUUCUGGUUGAAAGAAGCGUUAAAGUGGGCCUUGUAGGAGUCAGCAAUAAUCCAAUUUUACAUGGGUGCAGGUGGCUGCCUGUGUCUAGCGCUUUCACACAUCUCAUAUCUUCAUCCACGCCGUGGGUAUUUUUUUUCCACGGUGUGUUUCUGUUGCUGCCUCCAGUAUAUUGCUUAAUCAUCCUACCUGGUAAUUAUUUAUGCAUUUUUCUCCUACUCUCGACUCAGCUCCUAGGGAAUAAAAACACAUUAACUUAUCUUUGUGCCCACAGCACCCACCAAGUAUUUCCAUCACGUAAUACUGCCUCUAGAAAGGCAGGAGGAGAAGCAGUCACGCUAAGGAUCUAGGCAAGCCAGAUCUUUUGUCCGGUUUUAGGAGGUGGCCAGCCCUUACUUAUUCCACAAGUGUUUUUCCAGAAACUCAGACUUGAUAUUGCCUCAAGUCCAAGGCAGUGUGCUUCCCCCACUCACAUAUCACUAAUAGUAGCUAACAUUUGUUCAGAUCCCUGUAUGUACUCUGCCACUGUUUUAAAUGUUACACCCGGGUUACCUCAUUUAAUCCUUACAACUGCCCUGUGAGGUAGGUACUAUUAUUAUCUCUACUUUGUAGAUGGGAUUCACCGAGGCACAGACGGUUAAAAAACCUAGCCCAAAUAACACAAAUAAACAGCAGAGCAUGCAGUGCUAGAGUCUGCAUUCUUAACAAUUGCUAUAUUCUCCCUCUCCGUGAAUGUGGGCUGAGAUGCUGAAACAGGCAUGUGCUGUGGGGGAGAAAAAGCUUUGUCCAACCAAGUGCUUUCUAAUGUCCAGAUGACAUAGAGCUAGGAUUUCCUAAUGUCUUUUUUCCCCUAUUUUUCUCUCCAUUUCAGGGUUGAGUUUGUGCAUCGAUUGUGAACACAACAGGCAGCAGGCUAUAAUGGUGGUCCUGGCUGGAGUAGUUUUCACAGACUUCAGUAAUCUGUGGAGAUGAACGGGCAGUUCUCUGUAGUUUUCACAGAUCACUGCCAGUUCGUUUUGAGGCCUUCAGGAGUGAAGACCUGGCUCAUCAUCACUCUUUGUUGUUUUGUUAAAUUUAUUUACACCCUACUUUAUUCCAGAGGAAAGGAUUUAACGUAGUUUACAUAAAUGUGUACAUCAGGGUAAAUUAAAAAUAAGUACAGAGAAAAAUAGGACAAAAGAAAACCGUGAGUGUGAAAGAUAAGAUUAAGCCAGCAGUUUUGUAUGCAAAAUGCAUGGUGUAAGGUCCUAUUGGUUUGCUGGAGGUAGGCCACACAUAUGACUCUCAGUUUUCUAGCAACCAAGAAAAAGAUCAGUUGCAAUCGGAGUAGGUGUUUUGGCUAAGCUGGAACUAGGACUUGAAUAUAGCAGCUUGUAGAGUUAUACCACUUGCCCAAAUCUCUUCCAUGAGCCUCUUUAAGUGUAACAGAAUGCCUGGGAGCACGUAAAUGCUCCUACUUAGAUGCCUACUUAGCCUCUAAUUUUCAUGGGGCCCAUGAAUCCCAUGAAAAAGAACUUUGAACCCUGUCCACAAUUAGAGUUCAGGUAUACGCAGACAUGUUUAAAGACAAGGGACACCCAAAGGAAAGAUUGCACAGAGAGAAAGUGAGCAUCCGAGAGAAAAUCACCACAAGUGAGGCAGAGGGAGGCCGGUCUCAGCAGAGUUUUGGAGGUCGUGAGAAGAAGAGGUAGGAGAUAGGAGAGUGGUUCCGAGUACUUGCCUGCUGAUGUUACCUUCUCCACCCCCACCAGGUUUUCCAGUGCCUGGAGUCUUGGGCAGGAAUGGGCCACUGUAAGAAAGAGCUUUAUCACUAGGGCCUCAGCCAACUUUUCUGUGGGAUAUCCCUCCAAAAUAAUUAAGAGUUCAGAAUGCUUCAGAUUUUGAAGUGAAACUGGUACAUAUAUUAAGUGUUACUUAAUAACCCGAUAGUUUCUAGGGCAGCUCACCAUAAUCCCAAGUAUUAGCCACCACCCUCACCCCCUUCAGAGUAAAAUGUGUUUCCUGAAGGAAGUUGGGAAAAUGAAGAAAAAAAAUACAAAAAUCACCUAUAAUCUUACCAGUCAUAGAUGGCAGUUUUCCUGUCUUAUUUCUGAAUAAUGGUUGUUAAACAUUUGCCAGCACACCAUAAGGCUUAGGGAGGCAUCUGGGUCAUGCAUGUUAAUAUCCUUGGGUAAUUCCAGAAAUCUCUAUGAAGGGAAACUCCUGUUAUUUAUCUAGACUUCCUGAUUGCAAGGGGUUUGGGCAUCAUGAUUUAGGGGUCUUAAUAAAAUUAUUAUUUUAUUUUUACUAAUAGAUAAUGUCUGUGCCUAUCAGAUAAAGGCAAACCAGUGCUCAGAGGAACCCAACCAUCUCUGAAUUGAGACCAGAGAGCUGUCUCUAUGGAUAGUCCUUAGAGAAGGCAUUUCGGAACACAGUAAACAGCAGCCUGGUGACUCCGAUUACAGGGCCAGUUGCCUUUGUUACAAUAAAAGCAAGUCAUCUACACAGAUUUUUCCUACCAGGAAGAGCAUGUGCUGACCAACAGACAUGAAUUUCAGCCUGGUAGUUACAACAUUCACAGUAUACCCACAUCACUAAGCUGGGAGGCACAUUUUGAGACCCAGAAUCCUGACACCUCCAUGCCUUCAAAAGGAUACCGAGGUCUCCCUGUAUUGCCCAGGCUGGUCUCAAACCCCUGGCCUCCAGCGAUCCUUCCACCUCAGCCUCCCAAAGUGCUGGAAUUACAGGUUUGAGCCACUGUGCCCAGUUUCUUCUGUGCUCUUGAUGGAAAACUUAUUAUUACUGCUACUCUCCUCCUUGCCCAUCAGCCAUACUCUGGCUGCAUUAGCUUUCUUUGUAUUCCCAGCACUCCCCAGGCCUGUUGUUCCUUUUGGGUCUUUGUCUGGGGUCUUGCUCUAGCUGUAAUGUUCUUUACCCUUAGAUUCCCAUGAUUGGCUCCUUCUUGUCCCUAAGUCUCAGCUAAAGUGUUAUCCUGAAGAAAGGCCUUCACUGAUGAUCCCAUCCAAAGUAAUCACUGUAUUACACCAUUCAAUUUUAUUCUUUGCAUAGCAUUUACCCAUUGCUAAUAUUUUUCUUAUUUAUUUAUUUUUUUUAAAUAAUCUAUCUCCUGUCAACUAGAAUGUAAGCCCUGAUAGGGCAGGACUCUUUUAUUACACUGUAUUUUCAUUAUUAUAUCUACAGUGCCAAAAACUAUCCCUAACACAGGGGAGAUGCUCUAUACAUGUUUGGGGAGGAGGGAGGAAGGAAGGGAGGGAGGGAGAGAGGAAAGAAGGAAGGAAGGUGGGAAGAAAGGAAAGAAAGGAAGACAAUUGGGAAGGAUUUUUCUGAUCUGAGGCUGAUUGUUGGAGGCAUCCAACUGGUUAUUAUUUUGCUUAACAGCAAAAUAUUUUUAUCCACCUCCUUUGGAAACAAGAGAUCUUAAAGAUGUUUUGAGUUGAUUACAUAAGACUAUUUAACAGUGGUUAUGAAAACAGAUGAGUUAUCCUGAGAGGCUUUACUAGAUAUUUGUCAUCAUGAGCUCAGUCUCAUAAGUUAUUAUAAUAGAAAAUCAGGAAAAACUGCUUAUGUGUUUGAAUUCAAGUAGCUAAGUCUCAAAAUAUAAUAAAAAACAGUUGCACUACAGAUUUUCUUUCAAAAUAGCUCAAAAAUACCUUGUUGGCAGCAAAGGGAGUAAUAAUAAAAUAUCUUCCAAAAAACCUGAAAAUAGGAAAUAAAUUUGCCUUCUGAGAGUUAAACCAGUCAUACACACACACACACACACACACACACACACGUGCACACAUGCACACAUGUGCACGCAUGUGAACAUGCAUAGAAUCACACAGAGAUUAGGCUAAACCCAAUGAGGGAGUAAACUGAGAGAUAACCAGUGUGUACCUGAAGACUUUGGGAAUACCCCUAACUUCAGUGACCUGGGGGUAAUCCAGGAAGGCAAUCACCAGAAUGUGUUUGUUAAUUUAAUCCGUUGUAUGGAGAAAGUCUGGAUGAACAGAGGAUGUAGGCAGAGAGCUGUCAGCCUGUAGCCUGGAAAACCUCAACCUAAGAAGCAAGGAGUGGGUAGCACACUCCCAACUACUGUUCAAGAGAGAAGGGGCCUUGGCCUAAGGAUUUGAGCUCUCAGGUCUCUGUGGCAAAUGUAUCUUUGGAUAAGUCAUCUACCCACCUCUCCUUACUCAGAUUUCAUGCUCCACAUGGCUCCCUGUGUGCUGAAGCCUGAUUAUAGGAAGCAAAGACUCUGGUCUGCUGAUGUGAAGGCUCACCUGUUAGCUGGUUGCAUUUAUGGUUAAAAUGGAAUGAAUUUGAAUUCUGGCUAUACAGCAGUCUCUGUGAGCUUGGGUUAGUAUGAGUUUACCUGUGAGAUAAAGUUCCAGAGCAGAGUGACUUGUGACUUGUGUUGGGUCCAUACUAAGUGGCAGACAGUGGACCAGAAUUUAUACCACAAAUCCAGGUUGGCUCUGAGAAGACACUGCCACUAAGGACUGAUCUAAACUCAGUUCCCUUUCAAGUUCACCAAUUGUAUGACUCACAUGACAUUGAAUGAGGCCGGGAGUGUGAUACUAGCUGGACUCACCUUCAAGAACCCAAAAGACCCCAGUGGAUAAGAUGUGGAUACUCUAGUCCAUGGGUCAGCAAACUUUUUCUGUGAAGGGCCAGAAAACAAAUCUAUUAGGCUUGUGGACCACAUACAGCCUCUAUUACAUAUUUGUUAUCUUC